rnacentral:lncRNA from 1 species
CCACUCGGAGCAAGUGACUAUUUGGAAUUAUCCAAGAAUUUUGAUACGGUAAUCAUACGGAACAUUCCACAGUUUUCUCUGGCAAAGAGGACGCAAGUGCGCAGAUUCAUCACUCUCAUUGACAACUUCUACGACUUCAAGGUGCGUAUCAUCUGCAGCGCCUCGGUCCCCAUCUCCAGCCUGUUUGUGUAUCAGCAUCAGGACAGCGAGUCGGACCAAAGUCGGGUGCUGAUGGAUGACUUGGGGCUGAGCCAGGACUCAGCGGGACUCUCCAUGUUUACCGGGGAGGAGGAAAUCUUCUCCUUUCAACGCACUCUUUCCCGCCUCACAGAGAUGCAGACCGAGCAGUACUGGAUUGAAGGGGACAGAAGCAGGAAGUAACUGUCACCUUCACAACUAAUAAUAAAAAUGUGACCGGGUAAAGCUGCGAGACAGCGAGACAUCACUACGUCACUAUGAGACGUGACAGGAUCUUUUUCCUCCUCGUCAAUGCACUUUGCCCUCUGGGCUGCUGCCUCUGAGGCAGUGGACGGGCACACUGAAGAUGUCUCUUCUUUGUAGAUCCACAUUUGUUUUGAUUUAUUUCUGCAUCAUAAAGUGGAAUCAUCACUCUUGAAGAUCACUGCAAAACCCAACAUGUCGGCAACUGACUUCAUCAUGAACGUACAAACGGGCAGAGAGUGCAGGACGUCUGUGCAUCUCCAAGCUUUGGCUGCACAGAAGUCACCUUAGAAACACAUUCGCUAUAAGAAGCAGGCAGAGUCACUCCCCGUCCUUGAUCCUGAGUCGCAGAGUUGGGCCUCGUAGGAAACUGGAAAGGACAUUUGACAAAUCUUCUGUAAAUAAAAGCUGACUUCUCCUCC